CGGCGAUGAUGAGUGAAUGAGAAUAUCUGACUUGGUAUUUUUGCCCUUUGGCAUCCUUGACCAAGGUCUGAUCUGAGUUUAAUCUUCUCUCUGAGCUG